GCUCCUAAUCAACUUCACGAACCUUCCUCCUCCAUUCUCCGCCGGAAUCUGAAGAGCCGAAAGCCCGACCUCGAUCUGAAAUUGAAGUAACAGCUUUGAAUCCUGAGCCGGCCUCGAUCUGAGAUUGGCAGAGUCGAAGAAAUUGAAGAGGCUCGCUCUGGUCUUCUCCGCCCUCUGCUCCACUCUCCUCCUCGGCCGAAUCCGUCGGCGAUAGGCUCUUCAUCUCACCUUUCCACUACUCCCGAUCUUACGCAACCACCCAAACAUUUCACCAAGACAAAAAAAAAAGGCCGCAAAAAGUGGUUCAUUCUACCUCCGUUCACUGCCACCGUAAACAGCGCCGCUUUGGGACGAGAGCUCUCAGAGAUGUGUAUAUUAAACCCUCCACCUCCUCAGCUACGAUGGCGCUUAAAUGGGUCACCAGGUGCUGCCCCGAGAUUCCCAGAAGCCUUGUUCAGAAGCUCUUUCGCUUAAGACAGGUUGAAGUCUUUUGAAGUUUCAUUACAUUUUGGAAAUGGGUUCUUGAAUGGUGAUUGGAAAGUGGUUUGCUUUGAUUAUUUAUCACAGGUUCGAAGAGAAGCAUCUGACAUGGAUCAAUGUGUUAAGGGUAUCUGAAAUUUGUAUUAACUUUUGUUUUGUUUUGUAAUGGACUAAUGGGUAGAGCUCAGAGCUUUUGUUGCAAUUAUAUGGGGUAGUUUUGUUUCUGAUUUCGAUUUUCGUGAAGGUGGGGGCUAAAGACUUGAUGAACUUAGAAGAUCGAAUAUGUCUUCCUAUUUCUGUGAAAGAGUUCCCUGAUGAUAAAUAAGAAGAGGGACAUUGUAGUGAAGAAGAAGUCAAGUUUAUUCGUAGCCUUGUGUUGUAUAAGGUUCAUAACUGUGGUCUCUGUCGCUUGUGUGCAUGUUAAGCUAGUUAUCUUGCUUACACAUGUUAUUUGCAAUUUUUUGUUUAUUAAUAUGCAGAUUCUGUUGUUCCUUGUCUAUUGAAAUUGCCGGCACUGUGUUAUAGAGUAAAUAAAGUGAGAUUCAUCUCUAUUUAUGUUUCAGUUUUACUUGGAUUUGGGUUUAGGAGCAGGAUGACAAGAAGGCCCCUGACUCUGCUGCUAAAGUCAAAGGCGAAUCAGCCAAGAAGGGAUAUGUUGGAAUUCACAUCUCAGGAUUCAGAGAUAUCCUUUUAAAGCCGGAGCUUGUACGCCCGAUUGUGGACUCAAUAUUUGAGCAUCCUUUUGAAGGUAUACUAUUGAAUUCAAUCUUCCCCGGCGACGGUAUGGCCCCGAGAUUGCCGAGUCCGUCAAACAGGUCCCUUUUUUAUCCUUAUUCACUAUAUGCUCUUCAAUUUCCCUUUACGACUGGUUUAUUUUGCAUCGGAGUUGUGGAUGAUUGUAUGUUUGUGUACGCAUCUGUGUAUAGUUUGCUAUAUACACUCACUCGCACUCAAUGAAACUCUGUCAGGUAAGGGUGAUGCCCAUUACUUAUAAAGAUUAGAUACAGAAAGCCAGAACUGUUACUAUCUCUAAACUGUUGGUACUCUUUUGAAUCUUUCUAGAACUGCAUUUCUCAUUGUAGUCACUGAAGUGUUAUACUCUUGCAUGCUUAUUGAAUGUAAUGCUUGUUGCAAGAGUUGCUUCAAUUUUAAAUCAAUGUUUGACGCCAAAUUCCAAAUUUCAAACCCCUUGAAUCAUUUUUUCAGCUUUUGUUUUUGUUUUGGGUUUUUUCUCUGCUAACUUUGACUGUCAACAGUGGGAUUUUGUUUGUUUUGGGUUUAUGGGUUUUGUUGGGUUGCUUUUGUUAUGAGCAAUGGGGGACUCAGGUGGAAAAGUGAGGUUGGUUCAGUGCCCAAAGUGUGAGAAUCUUCUUCCUGAGCUAGCUGAUUACUCUAUGUAUCAGUGUGGUGCUGUUCUUAGAGUACAAGGAUUACAGAUUGUGACUGGGAUUACAGAUGGAUGGAGUACCCAGCUCAUGCAAGAACUUCGAGACAUCCCUUGGAUCAGUCGUUGGCUACAUAUGGAGACCAUUCAGUCCUGCGCACUUUAAUUUGCUGUUAGUUUUCUCCAGCAUAUAGGUUAAGAUAUGGAAUAUUCAGGAAAAGAAAUGUACUGCAGUUCUGAUGGGGCACACUUAGUAUGAAAUCUUUGAGUUUGGCGUACCCAUGCAACUCUUUAUCUUGACUGAAAAUGUGACUAAUCUUUUAACUUGUUCAUAUGUUUCUACGCUAGCAUUUUUAGGUUUGCAGUUUUAUUUUGUGAAUUAUGUUGGAUCAUGAAUUUGGACAUAAUUAAUGGAAUGCCUCAAUUUUU